rnacentral:rRNA from 1 species
AUACAUGCAGUCGAACGAUACCAAUGGGCUUGCUCAUUGGAAAAGUGGCGCACGGGUGCGUAACGCGUAUGCAACCUACCUUAAUCAGGGGGAUAGCCCGAAGAAAUUCGGAUUAACACCGCAUAAAAACACAGGACAGCAUUGUCCAAUGUUCAAAUAUUUAUAGGAUUAAGAUGGGCAUGCGUGUCAUUAGCUAGUUGGCGGGGUAACGGCCCACCAAGGCGACGAUGACUAGGGGAUCUGAGAGGAUGACCCCCCACACUGGCACUGAGACACGGACCAGACUCCUACGGGAGGCAGCAGUAAGGAAUAUUGGUCAAUGGAGGCAACUCUGAACCAGCCAUGCCGCGUGCAGGAAGACAGCCCUCUGGGUCGUAAACUGCUUUUAUUCGGGAAUAAACCUCAGUAUGUAUAGUGAGCUGAAUGUACCGAAGGAAUAAGGAUCGGCUAACUCCGUGCCAGCAGCCGCGGUAAUACGGAGGAUCCAAGCGUUAUCCGGAUUUAUUGGGUUUAAAGGGUGCGUAGGCGGCUUAUUAAGUCAGGGGUGAAAGACGGUGGCUCAACCAUCGCAGUGCCCUUGAUACUGAUGAGCUUGAAUACACUAGAGGUAGGCGGAAUGUGACAAGUAGCGGUGAAAUGCAUAGAUAUGUCACAGAACACCGAUUGCGAAAGCAGCUUACUAUGGUGUGAUUGACGCUGGGGCACGAAAGCGUGGGGAUCAAACACGAUUAGAUACCCUGGUAGUCCACGCCCUAACGAUGAUACUCGCUGUUAGCGAUACACAGUAGCGGCUAGCGAAGCGUAGUAUUCACUGGGGAGUACGCCGCAGUGAAC